GACUAAAAUUCUUUGCAAUAGUAACUGCAAAUUUUCUAUUUCAUAUUUGAUGUUGAUGACUUGAUAUUAGUUGUUCUUGUUAGUGUAAAGAUAUGGUUUUGGGUUGAGAAGCUUUUCACUAUAACUAACAUGCUUCGCAUUUUUUAAGGCACUUUUCAGUCUUUCUUGGCAUUGAUGGCUACAAAUUACUUGAGUGCAUUUUCUCUUAGUAAACUAUUAUCACCACUUCUCAGAAACAGCCCAGUUCCUUCCUGUAUAGUGAAUGUCACAUCUUUCACACAUCGAAGUGUAUUGAAUAAACAGGUUGACAAGGAGACUGUAUCUGGAAAGUGCUUUGGCAGAUCAAAAGGAUACCCAUAUGCUCAUGUCUAAGAGUAUUCCAAAUUGCUGUGGAUUCUGGUGUUGUUGAAACCAACAUCAUGCGAGAAGUUCCUCCAUGCCUUCCAGUUUGGCUUUCAAAGUUUUGAGACUUCUGUGCCUCUUGCAGUCAACUGAAGUUGGAAUUAGCUCCAUUCUUGACGCAGCACUUGCUUCACCAGAAACAUCUGGAGUUUACUUUUUUGGUGGAAAGGGCCAGACUUUCAGCUCUUCUAUGCUUUCAUAUGAUGCUAAACUUGCAAAGGCACUUUGGAAUACAUCGUCUGAUCGAUUCUUAGAGUCACAGCUUGCUUUCAAGGAAACCUCUACUUCUGUAUCAAAUUGUGUAUCAUAGGGGUUAAAUCUCCAAUUGCCGUACUAGGAGCUGAGAUUGACAGCUACUCUCCACCAGAAUUCAUGAAAACGUUUGAGGAGAUAUCCUAAACAUGAGAUGCAGAGGCCUUUUUAUUCUUUUUAAAUUUUUUUUAUUGGGAAUUUGUUCAUGUUGAAGGCUUGAAGGCUUGAAGCUGCUCAUCCUACAUUGAUUGAUGUGCAUUUAGUCUAAGAGCUAGGACUAUUUGAAAGUAGUAAUUCCAUAUCUAGGGAUAUAAUGCAGUUUGAGAUAAGCCAUAAAAAAUAGCACUAUUGUAAUUUUGAAAUAGAAGGGGAAAA